AUAAGCCACCCCCCUCCUCAGUAUGAAGGGUUCGCACCCCUGUUAUUCACACGCCAGUAAUCCAAUCGACCGCCUCCGGGCACCGAGACGUAGGGCUGUUACUUCCUCCGCGAAGGGCCUGAACUCGUACAUCUUGGUGUGUUUACAACUUCCCAAUAGCUGAGAUCUAGCCUCUCCAUACUUACCCCCCUACAUCACUGUCAGAGUUAGAACCACGACAGCACCUUUCCUCGAACUUUCCAAAAAAUAGACAGCACCUUUCCUCGAACUUUCCAAAAAAUAAUCGUACUUGAUGAAAUGCAGUGGAUACAUGCCCCCAGAAUACAUCAACAGACAGAAAAUCAGUCCGAAGUUUGACGUAUUUAGUCUCGGGGUCAUAAUCAUACAAAUAAUGGCAGGAAAGGAGGGCUACUAUAGUUUUCCAUACUCCCCUCAGAAAGAAUUUAUUAAGAAUGUAAGAAAAAAGAUUUCAUAUCAUGGAAAACAUUUUUUUCACAAAUAUUUUAUUGUGCUUUACCCCUGUUCCCCUCUUUUGGUGUUAUUAUGUUAAAAUUAUCUAGGUACGUGAAAACUGGCGAACUAAGGAGCAGGCAACAAUGUCGCCCCAUGCAUCUGAAGAAGUCAAUACAUGCAUCAAAAUAGCGUUGAAAUGUGUGGAGGAUGACCGAACGCGAAGGCCUACAAUAGCCCAGAUUGUUAAUGAACUAAGUAACAUUGGUGUUGCUAAAGUUCACCCAUUAGUCAGUGGGCGAACAAGCUGACUGCGUUGAAGACCUUGUUGUUACCCACUCACUUCAAACAUUGGCUGUUCCUCUUAGUCGCAGCGAUUGCCAUGUUUUUCGCAUGGGCUCAAUUCUGCCCAGAUUCAUGGUGCCAAAGCAUUACAAGGAGAAUGUAAACAGCAGCGACUACUGAAUGGUUCCCAAAAGGCCGCGGGAGGGACAAUAGUUUCUGUACGAGCGCUGUUAGUGGUUUCCAUAUUAGUUUCUUCUGUCAAGCAAAGCAAAUGGCUCUCUUCGGCCAAUAGAGUGGAAGGGCCUGUCCUGAUGUCCCAGCCGCAGCUUCUCGAGCUUUGGCGAGGCCUGCAAUCAGACCAUGACACCUCCCCUCUCUGGCCACCACGGCGGCGAGCUCCCUCCAACAGAGGACUGGCGCGAGGCGUUCGACGAAAUGUGUGGAUUAGCAAACAAUUUCUUUGGGCAGUUGAGGUUAGAGCAAGGACUAGGCGCAAGAAAGUUGAGUUCCUCAAAUGUUAGCAAGUUAAACCUCAUCCAGCUCAAGGAAAUGCUCGAUCAGUGCGGCCAUCUCCAUCAUCUUUCGCCAUUGCGAGCCCUGCUUAAAAAAUACUCCAUAUAAACCUUUACACGCUGCGUGUUGCAUAUGACAACGUAAAUUUUUCUGGAUGGCAACCAUGCUGUGUGGGUUGUCCAUCUACCUCAGCUUGUACUGAACCUGUGUACUGGGUUUUUU